AGUGUGUUAGUUUAAUGGUAGAACCUAACGCUACGGUCGUUACGGUACAAGUUCGAGUCUUGUACGCACUU